CAGCCUCGUAUUGUAGAAGGGAGGGAGGAAGGAUGAAUGGACAGAUGGACCAGCAGAUGCCUCUGAAGUCAUUUGCAGACGCACCCUCGUUCUGCAGAGGCAGUGAGGUAUUGUUGAAGGUGCAGUGCUGUGAGGAUUUGGACCCGGAUUUGGGGCCUGGCUGGGUCACUGAGAGUUAUGUCUUUGCCGUGUGUAUGUUUGCGCCUACCUUUCCAAUGGGUGAAACAAGAAAAUUCCGUGAUUCCAUGUUGAAGCCUCCUUAGAAGUACUCUAAACUUCUCUCUCUUCAAGGCAGCUCUUGAUCAUCUCUAAGCUAGAACCAGUGUUUGUUGUCAGAUCCACAACUCUUUCCAGGCUGCCCGGUGUGAGGCCGGCAACUAUUUGGUGUGCACAUUUUAUAAAGACAAAAUGCUCCCCUUAGCUUCAGUGAAAUGACUGGUUGGAGUCAUUUGGUUGGAUAGAAGUUUGGACAGCUGCCCAGGUCAGGAAUGGUGAAAAGGAACCACUGCUUUCCUUGGUCUCUUUGCUCUCAGAAGCCAAGAUAAAUGCCAUCCCGACCCUAUGCCCACAGCUAUCCCUUUUUCUUAGGAAAGGAUUUGGCUCCUUCCAGCUCAGUGCCUCUGUACACAAGCUUUUGCUCUGCCUGGGAGAUGCUUCUAACCCCUAAGGACCUGCCCUGGUUGUUAGACUAUAAUCUAAACUGACAACAGACGUUCUGGUUUUUUAAAAAAGUCCUAUCAUUUCCAUCCUUUCCAUUCAGCAUCUUCCCUCAUUGUUCCCUCCCCCAGCCUAUCAUCCCCCUUCCUAAGUUGAUAGUGAGUCUUAUUAAGUGGUGCUGUGUCAUAAAGUGUUGAGUUGUGUCAGCUGGAAAUGGAACAUGAUUAAGUAUAUAAAGGAGCCCCAGCCUCGCCUGCCACAACAUUAUACAACAGAAACCUUGGCAGUGUGCUAACAUCUUUUCUUUCUCGCUUUCCUGGGGAGCAGUGAGCCCGCCUCUCACCAUGUGGGUCCAGUUGUUGGUCCUGGGCUCAAGUUGGCCAAGUGCAGAGAAGCAAGCUAACAGGAGAGAGAAAAAAGGUUCCAGCUCUGUUAUAUAACGGCACUACAGUAACGCACCCCGGUCCUUGGCAGCCCUGUAAAUUCCUCCUCUCUGAAUUGUUGGUUCGGGACAAUCAUUCAGCAGGGAAUUACUUUCUCAUCUAUGAAAUAAAUGAGAUGUUAAACUA